rnacentral:lncRNA from 1 species
UACAAAUAGUACAUAUUCUAUUAUUUCUCGUUAUACCAUAAAAUCUUCCAUUUUCUAUAGGAAGUUUCUAUCUACUUUUUCUACUAUUUAACACCACUUAAGAUUUGAAUAUGACAUUUGAAUAUAGAUUUGGACAUGACUAUAUAGGAGUUAUUUCUAAAUUUUACUUUUAUUUUUACUUAUGUUUAUGCGUUAUUUCAAUCCUGUUUAUUUUUAGCUUUAAUAUUUUAUUAGAUAUUGUUUUAUAUUAUUGAUGAUGUAUAUAUACAUUCACACCAUACAUGUUAUUCUACUCAU